GUCAGAUUAUAUAACUGAAAAUUAUUAAUUGAUUUUUUAAAAGAAGAAUGAUGUAUUUAUCUAACUUUUUCACAUUUGGCCAGUGUUAUUUACAGGGUGUCCUGAUGACUCACAGAAAAAUACAGCCUGAGAACUCAGUCACGUAGUGUUGGAAUUAUGUUAGGAGGGCAACCUGCACAGAUGUUUUGUGUCAGUUUGUGCAAGACACUGUGUAUAAGGGAACAUGUGCUCUCAGGUAGUAAUGGUCUUGGAAGACAUGAACUCAUUUAGAAUUCAUGGAAUGUUACUGUUAAGUAAAUUAAAAUUAAUAUUAGGAAUAAAUUAGAAUUAAUAUUAGGACAACUUCAAAACAUUACAAAGCUCAUGAUGUAUCAUCUUUCAUACAUUUGACUCAAGUGGGUUAUGAACUCCCAUUUUUACCCCAAAUACAAAUUGCAGAAUCACAUCGGUUACACACUCACAUUUUUACAUAAGGGCAUAUUAGUGACUGUUGUAUUCUGCUACCUUUCCUAUCCCCUACUAUCCCCCCUCCCCUCCCCUCCCAUCUUCCCUCUCUACCUCAUCUGCUGUUGUUCAAUUCUCUCCCUUGUUCCCCCCCCCCUUUCCCCUCACAACCUCUUAUAUGUAAUUUUGUGUAACAUUGAGGGUCUCCUACCAUUUCCAUAUGAUUUCCCUUCUCUCUUCCUUUCUCUCCCCCCACUCGUCUCUGUUUAAUGUUAAUCUUUUCCUCAUGCUCUUCCUCCCUGUUCUGUUCUUAGUUGCUCUCUUUAUAUCAAAGAAGACAUUUGGCAUUUGUUUUUUAAGGAUUGGCUAGCUUCGUUUAGCAUAAUCUGCUCUAAUGCCAUCCAUUUCCCUGCAAAUUCCAUGAUUUUGUCAUUUUUUAGUGCUGCG
rnacentral:lncRNA from 1 species